rnacentral:rRNA from 1 species
GAUGAACGCUGGCGGCGUGCCUAAUACAUGCAAGUCGAGCGAACGGACGAGAAGCUUGCUUCUCUGAUGUUAGCGGCGGACGGGUGAGUAACACGUGGAUAACCUACCUAUAAGACUGGGAUGACUUCGGGAAACCGGAGCUAAUACCGGAUGAUAUUUUGAACCGCAUGGUUCAAAAGUGAAAGACGGUCUUGCUGUCACUUAUAGAUGGAUCCGCGCUGCAUUAGCUAGUUGGUAAGGUAACGGCUUACCAAGGCAACGAUGCAUAGCCGACCUGAGAGGGUGAUCGGCCACACUGGAACUGAGACACGGUCCAGACUCCUACGGGAGGCAGCAGUAGGGAAUCCUCCGCAAUGGGCGAAAGCCUGACGGAGCAACGCCGCGUGAGUGAUGAAGGUCUUCGGAUCGUAAAACUCUGUUAUUAGGGAAGAACAUAUGUGUAAGUAACUGUGCACAUCUUGACGGUACCUAAUCAGAAAGCCACGGCUAACUACGUG